GAUGAACGCUGGCGGCGUGCCUAACACAUGCAAGUCGAGCGAAGCACUUUGCUUAGAUUCUUCGGAUGAAGAGGAUUGUGACUGAGCGGCGGACGGGUGAGUAACGCGUGGGUAACCUGCCUCAUACAGGGGGAUAACAGUUAGACAUGACUGCUAAUACCGCAUAAGACCACAGCACCGCAUGGUGCGGGGGUAAAAACUCCGGUGGUAUGAGAUGGACCCGCGUCUGAUUAGCUAGUUGGUAAGGUAACGGCUUACCAAGGCGACGAUCAGUAGCCGACCUGAGAGGGUGACCGGCCACAUUGGGACUGAGACACGGCCCAAACUCCUACGGGAGGCAGCAGUGGGGAAUAUUGCACAAUGGGGGAAACCCUGAUGCAGCGACGCCGCGUGAGCGAAGAAGUAUUUCGGUAUGUAAAGCUCUAUCAGCAGGGAAGAAAAUGACGGUACCUGACUAAGAAGCACCGGCUAAAUACGUGCCAGCAGCCGCGGUAAUACGUAUGGUGCAAGCGUUAUCCGGAUUUACUGGGUGUAAAGGGAGCGUAGACGGAUGGGCAAGUCUGAUGUGAAAACCCGGGGCUCAACCCCGGGACUGCAUUGGAAACUGUUCAUCUAGAGUGCUGGAGAGGUAAGUGGAAUUCCUAGUGUAGCGGUGAAAUGCGUAGAUAUUAAGAGGAACACCAGUGGCGAAAGGCGGCUUACUGGACAGUAACUGACGUUGAGGCUCGAAAGCGUGGGGGAGCAAACAGG
rnacentral:rRNA from 1 species